CUGGGUCUUUCAUGAUGCCCAGGGGAUGGGGGGGAAGCAGGAGAGUAAGACAUCCUGGCAUUGGUAAUCUAAUUAGCAAGUGACACAUUUCCUCUUUUUGGCAAUGUGUAAGUGGCCACCCUGGAGUAUAGGACUGCAGCGUAAGAGGCUGGGAUGAUGUCACAAAUUAACAGGAAAUGAUGUGCGAACGAAAUCCAUAGCUGCUAUGAUUAAUAGUGCUGAUCUUCAGAGAUAAGGAGCCAAGACAAAGUGGAGUAGGGAGGAAAGUGCGUCACUUUCUCAACAAGAAAAUCUUCUCAGAUACCAGAAGUAAUGAGGCUGUAAAUAAAAAUGAUUGUAAUGAAUCAUUUCUUUGAAGUACAAUCUAACUAAUACUGUAAGGAAAGCACAGAGGAUGCAAGUGGCUGUCACUGAGUUUUUGAAGGGGAAGGGCAUGUAUAAGGGGAAAAGGGAGAAAAAAUAAGGUGCACCUCUUCACCCGGGCCUUUGACACCUGAGAGAGAUAUUCUAGGAUCCACUCUGUUUUCUUGAUGGUAAUUUCUUGAUGGUAAUUUGUUUAAAUUGGUUUUAAUAUUAUAUUUUAAGUUGUAACCCAC